UACGGGGGGGGCAAGCGUUGUUCGGAAUUACUGGGCUUAAAGAGUUCGUAGGCGGCGCAGAAAGUAGGGUGUGAAAGCCCUCGGCUCAACCGAGGAAUUGCGCUCUAAACUACUGUGCUUGAGGAAUCUAGAGGUGAGCGGAACUGAUGGUGGAGCGGUGAAAUGCGUUGAUAUCAUCAGGAACACCGGAGGCGAAGGCGGCUCACUGGGGAUUUUCUGACGCUGAGGAACGAAAGCCAGGGGAGCGAACGGG
rnacentral:rRNA from 1 species